rnacentral:tRNA from 2 species
GCGCUCGUAGUGUAAUGGAUAUCACAUGAGAUUCCGGUUCUCAUAAUGGGGGUUCGAUUCCCUCCGAGCGUA